AAGUGACGCGGUAGAGGAGCGUUCUGUAAGCCUGUGAAGGUGAGUUGAGAAGCUUGCUGGAGGUAUCAGAAGUGCGAAUGCUGACAUGAGUAACGACAAUGGGUGUGAAAAACACCCACGCCGAAAGACCAAGGGUUCCUGCGCAACGUUAAUCGACGCAGGGUUAGUCGGUUCCUAAGGCGAGGCUGAAAAGCGUAGUCGAUGGGAAACAGGUUAAUAUUCCUGUACUUCUGGUUACUGCGAUGGAGGGACGGAGAAGGCUAGGCCAGCUUGGCGUUGGUUGUCCAAGUUUAAGGUGGUAGGCUGAAAUCUUAGGUAAAUCCGGGGUUUCAAGGCCGAGAGCUGAUGACGAGUCGUCUUUUAGAUGACGAAGUGGUUGAUGCCAUGCUUCCAAGAAAAGCUUCUAAGCUUCAGGUAACCAGGAACCGUACCCCAAACCGACACAGGUGGUCGGGUAGAGAAUACCAAGGCGCUUGAGAGAACUCGGGUGAAGGAACUAGGCAAAAUGGCACCGUAACUUCGGGAGAAGGUGCGCCGGCUAGGGUGAAGGAUUUACUCCGUAAGCCCUGGCUGGUCGAAGAUACCAGGCCGCUGCGACUGUUUAUUAAAAACACAGCACUCUGCAAACACGAAAGUGGACGUAUAGGGUGUGACGCCUGCCCGGUGCCGGAAGGUUAAUUGAUGGGGUUAGCGCAAGCGAAGCUCUUGAUCGAAGCCCCGGUAAACGGCGGCCGUAACUAUAACGGUCCUAAGGUAGCGAAAUUCCUUGUCGGGUAAGUUCCGACCUGCACGAAUGGCGUAACGAUGGCGGCGCUGUCUCCACCCGAGACUCAGUGAAAUUGAAAUCGCUGUGAAGAUGCAGUGUAUCCGCGGCUAGACGGAAAGACCCCGUGAACCUUUACUGUAGCUUUGCACUGGACUUUGAGCCUGCUUGUGUAGGAUAGGUGGGAGGCUUUGAAGCGUGGACGCCAGUUCGCGUGGAGCCAUCCUUGAAAUACCACCCUGGCAUGCUUGAGGUUCUAACUCUGGUCCGUGAUCCGGAUCGAGGACAGUGUAUGGUGGGCAGUUUGACUGGGGCGGUCUCCUCCUAAAGAGUAACGGAGGAGUACGAAGGUGCGCUCAGACCGGUCGGAAAUCGGUCGCAGAGUAUAAAGGCAAAAGCGCGCUUGACUGCGAGACAGACACGUCGAGCAGGUACGAAAGUAGGUCUUAGUGAUCCGGUGGUUCUGUAUGGAAGGGCCAUCGCUCAACGGAUAAAAGGUACUCCGGGGAUAACAGGCUGAUACCGCCCAAGAGUUCAUAUCGACGGCGGUGUUUGGCACCUCGAUGUCGGCUCAUCACAUCCUGGGGCUGAAGCCGGUCCCAAGGGUAUGGCUGUUCGCCAUUUAAAGUGGUACGCGAGCUGGGUUUAGAACGUCGUGAGACAGUUCGGUCCCUAUCUGCCGUGGACGUUUGAGAUUUGAGAGGGGCUGCUCCUAGUACGAGAGGACCGGAGUGGACGAACCUCUGGUGUUCCGGUUGUCACGCCAGUGGCAUUGCCGGGUAGCUAUGUUCGGAAAAGAUAACCGCUGAAAGCAUCUAAGCGGGAAACUUGCCUCAAGAUGAGAUCUCACUGGGAACUUGAUUCCCCUGAAGGGCCGUCGAAGACUACGACGUUGAUAGGCUGGGUGUGUAAGCGUUGUGAGGCGUUGAGCUAACCAGUACUAAUUGCCCGUGAGGCUUGACCAUAUAACACCCAAACA
rnacentral:rRNA from 1 species